rnacentral:rRNA from 1 species
CGGGGUACUCGAGUGGCGAACGGGUGAGUAACACGUGGUGAUCUGCCCUGCACUUCGGGAUAAGCUUGGGAAACUGGGUCUAAUACCGGAUAGGAGCCAUCUUUAGUGUGGUGGUUGGAAAGUUUUUUCGGUGUAGGAUGAGCUCGCGGCCUAUCAGCUUGUUGGUGGGGUAAUGGCCUACCAAGGCGGCGACGGGUAGCCGGCCUGAGAGGGUGUACGGCCACAUUGGGACUGAGAUACGGCCCAG